GCGUUCGUAGCUCAGUUGGUUAGAGCACCACCUUGACAUGGUGGGGGUCGUUGGUUCGAGUCCAAUCUAACGCACCA
rnacentral:tRNA from 1 species